rnacentral:rRNA from 1 species
GACGGAGGGGGCUAGCGUUGUUCGGAAUGACUGGGUGUAAAGGGCGCGUAGGCGGUGUUUUAAGUGAGGCGUGAAAGCCCUGGGCUUAACCCAGGAGGUGCGUUUCAUACUGGAAUGCUAGAGUGCGAGAGAGGAAAGUGGAAUUCCUAGUGUAGAGGUGAAAUUCGUAGAUAUUAGGAAGAACACCAGAGGCGAAGGCGGCUUUCUGGCUCGCAACUGACGCUGAGGCGCGAAAGCGUGGGGAGCGAACGGG